AAGUCGUAACAAGGUUUCCGUAGGUGAACCUGCGGAAGGAUCAUUACCAAAGUAUUACUACUUACCACUUGUGAACAUUAUCUCUGUCCUUGGGGGAGAGAGCAGGAUUAUGAGUUUGCUUUGUCAUACUUUUUUCCUGUCUUUCUCCCCCAGCGGGGUGCCUGUCUCUGCUUUGCAGUUACAGGUUCACUUACGCACUUAUAGUAACCACAUGUAUUAAGAUGAAAUUGGUGUAUCAUACCUUUUCUCUUUUUGAGAAAUCAAAAAGUUUGACAACUUUUAACGGUGGAUCUCUUGGCUCGU
rnacentral:misc_RNA from 1 species